UUCCUAAUAUCCAGUUUCUCCUCUAACGGAGUAAGCUCUGCGAUAGGAGUGAAGAGUGUCACUAAGUGAGAAUCAGCUACGGUGGCAGCUCGUCCUAGAAAUGUCACGUCUCAUCCUGCCUCCGUGUGCUGGCCUAUCCAAGUUCAGGUUUCAGGCAGGCAGCUGGACUCAGCAGGAAGAGUCUCUUUUUCUGAAAGCUAAAAUGACUCUUCAGCUUGAGAGCGGCUGUCCUCCUUGUUUUCUUUGAAAGAAGAUCAUUUUCUGAAGGCCGAGAGAUCCAGGCUCUCCAAAAGCCUCUCUCCGUGGGUGAGACCUGCCAAAGAAUGCAAGGAUGAGAAACAAAACCAAAUCUCAGAGGAAUGAAAGAAUCCUUUUCACAUGGACAUUAGUUGCAUUCAUUAAUGGCUCACACAUGAGUUCAGGCCCAUGUUUUGAUCUGUAGGAUUGUUUUCAAUUGAGCUCUAGAAACAGA
rnacentral:lncRNA from 1 species